GAUGAGCGCUAGCGGCAGGCUUAAUACAUGCAAGUCGAGGGACAGCACAGGUAGCAAUACUGGGUGGUAACCGGCAAACGGGUGCGGAACACGUACACAACCUUCCUUUAAGUGGGGGAUAGCCCAGAGACAUUUGGAUUAAUACCCCGUAAUAUAGUUGAAUGGCAUCAUUUGAUUAUUAUAGCUACGGCGCUUAAUGAUGGGUGUGCGGCUGAUUAGAUAGUUGGCAGGGUAACGGCCCACCAAGUCUACGAUCAGUAGCUGAUGUGAGAGCAUGAUCAGCCACACGGGCACUGAGACACGGGCCCGACUCCUACGGGAGGCAGCAGUAAGGAAUAUUGGUCAAUGGACGCAAGUCUGAACCAGCCAUGCCGCGUGAAGGAUUAAGGUCCUCUGGAUUGUAAACUUCUUUUAUUUGGGACGAAAAAGGGCCUUUCUAGGUCAACUGACGGUACCAGAUGAAUAAGCACCGGCUAACUCCGUGCCAGCAGCCGCAGUAACAC
rnacentral:rRNA from 1 species